UUGGAUAACCAUAUUUUUGCACCAUAGAUCCAACCUUCUUAAUCCAAAUUCGGUGUCAAUCUUUGUUAAUUCCAAACCUAAACCCUAACCCGCAAUCUAAGAUGAAUUGAAGCCUCUAAGGUUAGGGCUUGGAUUACUCCCGUCGGGCCCUACACGGGGUACCUAAAGAACUAUGCGAUAAUGAAGAUGAAGGCGACGACGAAGCUUCGAUGCUCAGAAAGUUGGAGAUGAAAUUCCCGGUGGUAGUUCGAUUCUCAAUCUCUCCUGAAAACUUCUCCGGCGAGGACGUGGUUGCGAUGCGAUUGAUUGAAGAAGGCGAAGAUGGAAUGCUGCUGAUCAGACAUGUUGGUAUGGCAAAGCAAAUGGGCCAUGUUAAUUUCUGGUUUGUUUGGAGACGUUGAAAACGAAUGUGGUAGCGGAAAGCCUUGUCAUGAUGUGUGUUGCAGGCUGGCUUGUGAUGCAUUGCUGCCUCGCAGGCUGUUGAUACUACCUAUGUUGUGUGUGUCGUUGUUGUUGCUUCACUUCUUGACUAGUCACACUAGAACCUGAAUUUCUGCCGAACCCAGGUUGUGGCAGAUGAUGUUUCUGCUGAGAUGUCAUCGGAGUCAAAGGAGAUGAUGGUGUUGCAGGUGAAACAAAUACUUACUGAGAUGAAUUUUGUGGUUGAAUCCAACUUGCAGGGACUGUGACGAUGAACGAACGGCGGGUUAUACUCCUUAUACAACAACCUAUGUUCUCCGUCUCUCGACAUGGAUGAGAGGAAGAUAUAGAUCAUCAAGACCAAUAUCAAAGUCAGCCUUGCAGUAUAUCCGAAACGAGUUCAGUAUCAACUUUAGUUUUCUCCUAUGGUGUUGUGAGCUUCUCGGAAUUUUUCAAACCUUCGACGCAAUAGCCAAUAUCAGGUAUGUAUCUCACUGUUGCGGUCGAUACCACGCUGCCGACUCAAGCAAAGGAUAGAGAGAAUGCACUCCUUGUGCAAUCGGUCUUCAAAUUACCGGAAGUCUGGAGAGGUGGUGAACAAUGCUACGAUCGAUUCGCGGUUGAACUCGAUCUAGAAAUGCUUUGCAAGUUCAUCUUCGCCAUGAAUGAACUCAUCCUCUUGCUCAGAGUUUCUGCCAAAGCCAAUAGAUGUUGCAUCUGGUUGCCGCUUAUUGUCAACAAAAUCUUACCCACAACCGACCAGGCAGCACAAGCAACAAUAUGUUCAGGAGAUAUGGCAUGGGAAGCUACUAUGGAUAACAUAUACUUCUAGUGUAUUCUUGGGAUCAUAUAUUGUAUGCAUACAUAAUUAGAUUUCCUGACGUUAUAAAUGCAAAAGCCUUUGAACCUUCUAAGACGACAAUGCUUUUUUCUUUUAGACUGAAGCGGUAAAUGUAUAUAUCAGUGACUGUUAUUGAUCCAUACGAAAGACACCUCCGAGUUGGUGUAAAUUUUCAUA